GAUCCAUUAGCUCAGUUGGUAGAGCAUCUGACUUUUAAUCAGAGGGUCAGAGGUUCGAAUCCUCUAUGGCUCACCA
rnacentral:tRNA from 1 species